GCUCAAUGAUAUUUUGGCGUACAUUAUCUGAAUCAUUGCUGAUGUUUACUAACACCAGCUCUAAAAUUAUCCUGAGAUGAU